rnacentral:tRNA from 3 species
GGCCUGGUAGCUUAGUUGAAUAGAGCGCAGGAUUCCGGUUCCUGAGGUCCUGGGUUUGAGUCCCAGCCGGGUCA